GGGGGGGUUGAGGGUGGGGUAUGGGGGGUCUAUAGGGUCAGUUAUGGGGUGAUGGGUAUUUUGGGGGCACUUAUGGGGUGAUGUAGCGUGGGGUUGUGGGGUAUAGGGGCAGUUAUGGGGUGAUGUGGGGUGGGGCAGGGUUAUGGGGUGGGGACGUAUGGGGGUGUAUGGGGUCAUGUGGGGACAUAUGGGGUCACAUACCGGCCUAUGAGGAUAUAUGGGAUCAUAUGGGGUCAUAUGGGGGUUUAUAGGGUCAUAUGGGGACGUAUAGGGAUAUAUGGGGAUGUAUGGGGAUAUAUGGGAUCAUAUGGGGUCAUAUGGGGGUUUAUAGGGUCAUAUGGGGACGUAUAGGGAUAUAUGGGGAUAUAUGGGGUCAUAUAGGGACAUAUGGGGACAUACAGGGAUAUAUGGGGCCACAUACCGGCGUAUGAGGAUAUAUGGGAUCAUAUGGGGUCAUACGGGGGUUUAUAGGGUCAUAUGGGGACGUAUAGGGAUAUAUGGAGAUGUAUGGGGUCAUAUAGGGACAUAUGGGGACAUACUGGGAUAUAUGGGGUCAUAUAGGAACAUAUGGGGACAUACAGGGAUAUAUGGGAUCAUAUAAGGAUGUAUCGGCACGUAUGGGGAUAUAUGGGGUCGUAUAGGGACGCAUGGGGACGUAUGGGGAUAUAUAGGGCCAUACAGGGACGUAUGGGAACAUAUGGGGCCAUAUACGGACGUAUGCAGAUAUAUGGGGUCAUAUAGGGACGUAUGGGGACAUAUGGGGUCAUAUAGAGUUGUAUGGGGACAUAUGGGGAUAUGUGGGGUCAUAUAAGCACAUAUAGGGAUAUAUGGGGUUAUAUAAGAACGUAUGGGGCCAUAUGGGGCUGUAUGAGACCAUAUGAGGCCAUAUGAGGCUGUAUGGGGCUACAUGGGGCUUUAUGGGGUCUUAUGAGGUCUUAUGGGGCUAUAUGGGGCCUUACGAGGUUUUAUGGGGCCGUAUGGGGCCAUAUGGGACCCUAUGGGGCCUUACGUGACUAUAUGGGGCCUUAUAGGGCCAACUGGGGCUGUAUGGAGCCGUUUGAGGCCUUACGUGGCUGUAUGGGGACGUAUGGGGCUAUAUGGGGCCAUAUGGGGCUGUAUGGGUUUGUAUGGGGCCUUAUGGGGCCGUAUGGGACUGCAUGGGGCCUUAUGGGGCUGUAUGGGGCCGUAUUGGCCAUAUGAGACCAAAUGGGGUCGUAUGGGGCUGUAUGGGACCAUGUGGGGCCAUAUGGGUUCGUAUGGGGCCAAAUGGGGCCAUAUGAGGCUAUAUGGGGCCAUAUGGGGCCGUAUGGGGCCAUAUGGGGCCGCAUGGGACUGUAUGGGGCUAUAUGGGGCUGUAUGGGGCCAUAUGGGGCCAUACGGAGCCAUAUGGGACUGUAUGGGGCUAUAUGCGGCCAUAUAGGACUAUAUGGGGCCAAAUGGGGCCAUAUGAGGCCAUAUGGGACUGUAUGGUGCUAUAUGGGGCCAUAUAGGACUAUAUGGGGCCAAAUGGGGCCAUAUGAGGCUAUAUGGGGCCGUAUGGGGCUCUAUGGGGCCAUAUAGGACUAUAUGGGCCCAAAUGGGGCCGUAUGGGGCCAGAUGGGACUAUAUGGGGCCAAAUGGGGCCAUAUGAGGCUAUAUGGGGCCGUAUGGGGCUAUAUGGGGCCAUAUGGGCUAUAUGGGGCCAUAUAGGACUAUAUAGGGCCAAAUGGGGCCAUAUGAGGCCAUAUGGGACUGUAUGGUGCUAUAUGGGGCCAUAUAGGACUAUAUGGGGCCAAAUGGGGCCAUAUGACGCUAUAUGGGGCCGUAUGAGGCCAAAUGGGACUAUAUGGGGCUAUAUAAGGCCAUAUGAGGCUAUAUGGGGCCGUAUGGGGCUCUAUGGGGCCAUAUGAGGCCAUAUGGGGCCACACAGGGCCUUAUGGGGCUCUAUGGGGCCAUAUAGGGCCGUAUGGGGCCGUGACGCACCAUAGGGGCACAUUGAAGCGCUGCAGGAGGCGGCUGAGCAGACGGCGGCACUGUGGGUCGGACAGCAGCCCCAUAGCGGCACCUCCGGGAGGGCCUCAGCCCCACAACUGCGGGGCGCACAGUUCAGGACCCCAUAAGGGAGACCCACAGAAACCCCACAGACCCCCAACCGCCCCGCAUCACCCCACAGACCACAGAACCACCCCAUAACCCCGUAUCUGCCCCAUAACCACCCCAUAGACCCCAUAUCUACCCCAUAUCAUCCCCACAACCACCCCACAGACCCCAUAAUCACCCCAUAUCUGCCCCAUAACCACCCCAUAGACCCUAUAUCUGCCCCAUAACCCCAUACCUGCCCCAUAACCACCCCACAGCCCCAUAUCAGCCCCCCAACUGCCCCACAUCGCCCCACAGACCGCAGAACCGCCCCAUAACCCCGUAUCUGCCCCCAAACCAUCCCAUAGACCCCAUAUUUACCCCAUAACCCCAUAUCUGCCCCAUAACCCCGUACCUGCCCCAUAACCACCCCACAGCCCCAUAUCAGCCCCUCCAACCGCCCCAUAUCACCCCACAGACCGCAGAACCGCCCCAUAACCCCGUAUCUGCCCCAGAACCACCCCAUAGACCCCAUAUCUACCCCAUAUCUUCCCCACAACCACCCCACAGACCCCAUAAUCACCCCACAGCCCCAUAACAACCCCAUAGACCCCAUAUCUACCCCAUAACCCCAUACCUGCCCCAUAACCACCCCACAGCCCCAUAUCAGCCCCCCAACUGCCCCACAUCGCCCCACAGACCGCAGAACCGCCCCAUAACCCCGUAUCUGCCCCCAAACC
ensembl:lncRNA